CAGUCGCCACGGUAAUACGAAGGGUGCAAGCGUUACUCGGAAUUACUGGGCGUAAAGCGUGCGUAGGUGGUGGUUUAAGUCCGUUGUGAAAGCCCUGGGCUCAACCUGGGAAUUGCAGUGGAUACUGGGUCACUAGAGUGUGGUAGAGGAUAGUGGAAUUUCCGGUGUAGCAGUGAAAUGCGUAGAGAUCGGAAGGAACAUCUGUGGCGAAGGCGGCCAUCUGGGACAACACUGACGCUGAGGCACGAAAGCGUGGGGAGCAAACAGGAUUAGAUACCCCGGUAGUCCCUGUCUCUUAUAC
rnacentral:rRNA from 1 species